CCUCCUGCUGGGAGCCCCUGAGGGCAGGGCCAUGCUGCACCUUGGCUCAUCUUCCCCGAGUUGAGCUGCUGUCACAGUUCCAAGGAGGAAAAGACCAGGGGGCUGAAGCAGACAGGAGGGGCUUCCUAGAGGUGGAGGGCCUGAGCCCUAGGGGAAGAGAAUGGUAUUCCAGGGCCUGUCCCAACAGGGGCUCUCUCCCCUCCCUGCUUCUGGCCCAAGCUGAGGGUCCCGGACCACAGUCAGGGACGCAGUUCCCAGGGCCUCAACCUUCCUCCCCUCUCAACCCCACCCUCUCCGGGAACCAGGAAGCUGGGGCCAGUGCCCAGCGUUGUGUCGGGUGCCUGGCCUCUGCCCUCUUCUUAGAAGCCUUCAGAGGAGACUGCCUGUUCCUGUCAUCUACACCCAGCUGCUGGAAAGCCCUUCCUGCCGUCUGCCCUGCGCCUCCCAGACUGCUGUGCUUCUAACAAGAGGCUAGUGCCAGUGGCAUCUCCGACCAUGGUGGUCCUCAAGACAGUGACAGUGCCGUCACCAGAUGUUCCCCCUUCUGCUCCCAGUAACCCUGGAGGAUGAGAGGGCAAGGACAGGAUGACAUCCCACCAAACCAAAGCAGAAAGGGAAGCGAGUGACUGAGGUCGCCUGACUCUUUAGUCUUGGAACUGGACAUCUCUGCUGUGCUUUUUGCCCCUGGGGUCCCUGAGGACUAACCCCAGGCGAGGCUGUCCUGUCUGCGGGGUAAAGACGGGUGAGCGUGUGCCUGGUCUUCCGGGAGCCUGUGGACGAGCUGGGAGUUUGUCAUGCGUGCGCAUCCCCGACGCUAGGCAGCAUGGCGCAGGCC